rnacentral:rRNA from 1 species
GAUGAACGCUGGCGGCGUGCUUAACACAUGCAAGUCGAACGAAGCAUUUAAGACAGAUUACUUCGGUUUGAAGUUUUUUAUGACUGAGUGGCGGACGGGUGAGUAGCGCGUGGGUAACCUGCCUCAUACAGGGGGAUAGCAGCUGGAAACGGCUGGUAAUACCGCAUAAGCGCACAGUACCACAUGGUACAGUGUGAAAAACUCCGGUGGUAUGAGAUGGACCCGCGUCUGAUUAGCUGGUUGGCGGGGUAACGGCCCACCAAGGCGACGAUCAGUAGCCGACCUGAGAGGGUGACCGGCCACAUUGGGACUGAGACACGGCCCAGACUCCUACGGGAGGCAGCAGUGGGGAAUAUUGCACAAUGGAGGAAACUCUGAUGCAGCGACGCCGCGUGAGUGAAGAAGUAGUUCGCUAUGUAAAGCUCUAUCAGCAGGGAAGAUAGUGACGGUACCUGACUAAGAAGCUCCGGCUAAAUACGUGCCAGCCGCCGCGGUAA